rnacentral:lncRNA from 1 species
UCAGGUUUUUCCACCGGGAGUUGGUACCUCCCGAUCUCUUGUUUACUCUGUACACCCUUUUACGUAUUCUAGCUAGCAUCUUGUGUGUGGUUUACUCUAUCGCUAUCUAGCUAGCGUCCUUUAAAGUCCGUGUGUGUCUCUUUUUGCCGUAGUCAGUUGGAGGGAUAGUGGCCGCGGCGGGGGAUGGUACUGUAAGGUCA